GAAAGAAAAAUCAGAAACCGGGGGUCAAAAUGCAAUUUAGAAAAAUUGCGCCACGUCAAAUGUGCGGUCAGCAGCUCCGACCAACCAGGACGAGCCAAGUGGAAAGGCGCUGACGCGGGAGGCCAUGCGGGGGGCCACGAGGGCGAUCCACGUGCGCGUGAUCGAACGGCUGAAAUCCGUUCCUACACGCACGGACGGCCUAGAUUGGAAGCGCGU
rnacentral:lncRNA from 1 species